UAUCUUGUUGAAACACCGGUUCUUGUGCGAUCACCGAAGUUAAGCAACGUCCGUCCUUCUCGGUACCGAAAUGUGUGACCAGUUGGGAAUACCAGGUGCUGUAAG